rnacentral:lncRNA from 1 species
UAGGAAAUUUUUAAAGUAACAAUUUUAAUCAUGAUAAUCUAAACCUAAUGAAAAUUAUAAAUCAGAGGUAUUAAUUGAUUACUGGGUUUAGACAACCUAGCUGAUACUUUGCCCCCAAAUUGAUUUUGGGCUUUCACAAACUCUGUUGCGCCACUAGGGAGAGUUUCUCUCUUUCUCACGCAUCCAAUCCAACCCAUCUAGGGUCCCUCCUCUCGAACUAGGAAAUACGAGAGCUUUCUUCUCCUUUUUUUUGUUUGUUUUUCCCUCUCGAGCAAGGAAGAUGGUCUGGUGGUGGCGAGAAUCGACAGCGCUACGGAGGCGCGACUCAAGCUCGUUCUCGCCUUCGGUGGCAGUUCGCGGUGGACUUCUAGGGUCCUUCAUUGUGCUGAUGGACCUUCUCCUUUUCCCUUGAACGCGUUGAAGCUCGAAGCUUCUUCCUUUUCUUUUUCCCCUUUCUC